rnacentral:tRNA from 1 species
GGUUCUAUGGUCCAACGGCUGACGACGCUUGACUGUCUAUCUCGAGAUACGGGUUCGACUCCCGUUAGAACCGCCA